rnacentral:rRNA from 1 species
ACGAACGCUGGCGGCGUGCUUAACACAUGCAAGUCGAACGAAGAGCGAUGGAAGCUUGCUUCUAUCAAUCUUGGUGGCGAACGGGUGAGUAACGCGUAAUCAACCUGCCCUUCAGAGGGGGACAACAGUUGGAAACGACUGCUAAUACCGCAUACGAUCUAAUCUCGGCAUCGAGGAUAGAUGAAAGGUGGCCUCUACAUGUAAGCUAUCACUGAAGGAGGGGAUUGCGUCUGAUUAGCUAGUUGGAGGGGUAACGGCCCACCAAGGCGAUGAUCAGUAGCCGGUCUGAGAGGAUGAACGGCCACAUUGGGACUGAGACACGGCCCAGACUCCUACGGGAGGCAGCAGUGGGGAAUCUUCCGCAAUGGACGAAAGUCUGACGGAGCAACGCCGCGUGAGUGAUGACGGCCUUCGGGUUGUAAAGCUCUGUUAAUCGGGACGAAAGGCCUUCUUGCGAACAGUUAGAAGGAUUGACGGUACCGGAAUAGAAAGCCACGGCUAACUACGUG